AGCAGCCGCGGUAAUUCCAGCUCCAAUAGCGUAUAUUAAAGUUGUUGCAGUUAAAAAGCUCGUAGUUGAAUUUCGGGAUCAAAUUGUUGGUCGUGCUUCGGUACGCACUGGCAUUAUUGGUUUCUACCUUCUGAAGAACCGCGAUGUCAUUAAUUUGGUGUCGUGGGGAAUCAGGACUGUUACUUUGAAAAAAUUAGAGUGUUUAAAGCAGGCGCACGCUUGAAUACAUUAGCAUGGAAUAAUGAAAUAGGACGUUUGAUUCUAUUUUGUUGGUUUCUAGGAUCGACGUAAUGAUUAAUAGGGAUAGUUGGGGGCAUUAGUAUUCAAUUGUCAGAGGUGAAAUUCUUGGAUUUAUUGAAGACUAACUACUGCGAAAGCAUUUGCCAAGGAUGUUUUCAUUAAUCAAGAACGAAAGUUAGGGGAUCGAAGACGAUCAGAUACCGUCGUAGUCUUAACCAUAAACUAUGCCGACUAGGGAUCGGAUGAUGUUAAUUUUAUAAUGACUC
rnacentral:rRNA from 1 species